rnacentral:rRNA from 1 species
UACGGAGGGUGCAAGCGUUGUCCGGAUUUAUUGGGUUUAAAGGGCGCGUAGGCGGGCUGCCGCGUCCGGGGUGAAAUCCCACGGCUCAACCGUGGAACGGCCUCGGAUACGGGCGGCCUCGAGGGGGGUAGGGGCAUCUGGAACUGUGAGUGGAGCGGUGAAAUGCGUUGAUAUUCACAGGAACUCCGGUGGCGAAGGCGAGGUGCUGGACCCCAUCCGACGCUGAGGCGCGAAAGCCAGGGGAGCAAACGGG